GCAGGCGGAGCGGCUGCCAGAGUUGCUGGGAGUGCGCGCGGUCGGAUCACAAGGCGGCGGCGGAGGAGGCCCAGAGACCGGAGCGCGGAGACCUCAGCCAGCGGCCUACGCCCAGGCCUUUCUCCACCGGAGGACCAGGGAACCGCAGUCUUCAUCACAGAGGUUCCUUUUAAAGGCUCUGUUUUUGUUUUGGGUUUUCUUCAUCUACUGUUGAUCCAAGAUUUAUCCAUUUAUUCAUCACUGAAUCAAGAAGGGUAUAUCCUGACCUGCUAUUCCUCCCCCUCUAACAAGAGUGGAACAAUUUUUUUGUAUCCAUUCACUGUUUACUGGGUUGUCACCCCAUUCAACAAGAGUGGAACAGUUUUUUUGUAUGCAUUCCCUGUUUACUGGGUUGUCACCCCCUCCCAAUGGCUCUGCGAUCCAGCAAGAUGUGGUAGUAGGGAGGGAGCUAAUGCCAGGGGCAAACUCAACAGGAUGACUUCACCCUCAAGACAGCUUUCCUCAUUUGCUUUUGUCCUCUGUUUCAGGUACGUGAUAUCAUAUAUACUUUCACUACUUGUGUAGGAGGGGAGGGGCAGGAGGGGGCAUAUACGCAACUUGGAAACAAAACCUGUUGGUUCAUUAAAGGGGACUCUUGCAUCAAGUUGAGAUCACCGUGCUAGUUGAGAAACUAUGAUCAGCAGACACCUGUAUUUGGGUGUGGACAAGCUUGCCCUCUGAGAGAGGACAGCCUGCUCCAAAUUAUGUUAAUCUGCAGUGUCAAAAUAGGACCAAAUGGACCAAUUCUUGUUAGGGCCUAGCCUAGUGAUCAGGGUUGAGAUGUCAGGAAAGCCAUUUGGCCUGUGUCUCAUAAUUCAAAAAGGGAUUCAAAUUCAGACUUUUGACAUUAUCCUAAAUGAACUGAUAACUCUAGCCACAAAGCCAGACUGAUCUGAUGGAAAAUGUUUGUCAUACAGCUUAAUUUAGUAUAUGUAAAAAAAUUAAAUUAUUUGGCAAUUUUGAUAUUCCUAAUUUAGUAUUAUUUUAUUUAAAAAAUAUACUGAGGCCAGGCGCAGGGGCUCGCUCACGCCUGUAAUCUCAGUAUUUUGGAGGCCAAGGUGGGCAGAUCACUUGAGAUCAGGAGUUGAGACCAGCCUGGCCAAUGUGGUGAAACCCCAUCUCUACUAAAAAUACAAAAAUUAGCCAGGCAUGGUGGCAGGUGCCUGUAGUCCCAGUUACUCGGGAGGCUGAGGCAGGAGAAUCACUUGCACCCAUGAGGUGGAGAUUGCAGUGAGCUGAGAUCACACCAUUGCACUCCAGCCUGGGUGACAGAACGAGACAAUGCCUCAUAGAAUUAAGGACCUAUUCUCAUGCCACCAUUUUCCCAGAAUUCUGUUAGAAGACUUAGGGGGAAAGCAGUUUUCUAUAAAUAGAAAGGAGAAGCAUGAUUCAGCAGAUACCAGACUGAAGCCACCUCAAAGAGCAUAGGCUUUACACACUUUGACCAUGGGUAAAAACCCUUGGCAAAAGCUGCCAUAAACCAACAAGUUCAAAAGUUUGGGUAAUGUCAUUUUAAAAAGGAGUUGUUUGUCCCAGCAUACAAGGGCAACAUUUAUUUGUCCAGCGGUUAUGAAUUGAGGCAUAUAGCUCCAGCUGUAUUGAGGUAUCUGAGCACAGAUUUGAGCUCCCUAAAACAGCACUUUUGGAAUCCAUAUUUAGAACUGUGUAGAUUAGCAAACUUAAGAUAAUUUCAAGAAAGAUUUUAUAAUUCAUUAUUUAAAGCAUGGUUGAUGAGCUUGAAAGAAAGAAGAAAGAUGAUUACUUGGCCCUAGCAUGUAUUUCACAAGAUUGUCAAACUAAAUUUUGUUAGGUUAGAAUAACAAUAAUAGCUAACAUAUUCAUUGCUAUGUUCAAUCUCGUAGUAGCCCUGUAAGAUAGCACUAUUACAAGCUUCCCCAGCUUACAGAUAAGGAAAUAAGCUGAAUGAGACUAAGUAACUUGAGCAAGGUCAUACUACUUACUAUUAAGUGACAAAGUCAAGGUUUGAACCCAGUUCUGAGAUUCUAGACUAUGCUCUUAAGCAGUACAUUAUACUGCCUCCCCUUAAGUCUAUUAAACUAUACUGGUCUGUUAAUCAAGAGAUUUUACAAUAAGUUGUAUACUAGCUGGCCUCCUGGGUGUUCUUCAGGAGAACAUUGGCUCUUGUUAAAUAAAUACAUCUCUGCUACUGUUCACAUUGGAGCAGUUUACACAAAAAAUGCACAUGUGAGAGUCAGCUCUGUCAUAAAUCAGUAACUGCAACUUAGAGCUUUGCCUUUCUUACUUUCAAGAUGUGGCUAAUAUUUGAAACUGCCCUUAAAUACAUCUAUUUAUAGUGGCCUAUUACAUAACAGUAUGUCUCCAAAAAACCAAUCACAUGGGCCACUUGUACUUCAGGUGCUCUGGAGGAUGCCCACCUUUUUGCUGAACUGCCUUCCAGAGAUCUCAAAAGGCAAACAUUGUGUACCUCACCAAGCCGUUUGGCAGUUUCUCAUAAUGUCCUUGAGAUUAAAAUGGAGUAACAAGAUGAUAAUGACAGGACAGUAGAUGGGUUAAUAAUUUGAAUUGACAGUGUUCAACAAUAUGGAUAUCAAAGUGAACAAAGGUUUCCAACCUCAGCCCUGUCCCAUCAAAGUUGUUAAUGACUAGCAAGAAAAUAUAAAAAAGCGUGCCCAUCCCAUUGCAAAUAAUAUAGAAUUAGAUGGCAGAAUAAAUGUACUUGAUAUCACUAGCAUGAUCUAGACAGUCCUUAGGGGCUGAGAAAAAAAAUAGCCAAAUCUAGCAGGAUUAAAUUGAAUAGGAUGAAAUAUGAAGUCCUGUACUUAUAUCAAAAAUUCAGUUACCAAGGGGAGGUGGUUAUGUGGCCUAACAAUUGCAUAUAUGAAGAAGACUAGUUUUUUUUCUUUUUUCUUUUUUUUUGAGACGGGAGUCUUGCCCUGUCACCCAGGCUGGAGUGCAGUGCGUGAUCUUGGCUCACUGCCACCUCCGCCUCCCAGGUUCAAGCAAUUCCCUGCCUCAGCCUCCCAAGUAGCUGGGAUUACAGGCACCCGCCAUCACGCCUGGCUAAUUUUUGUAUUUUUAGUAGAGACAGGGUUUUACCAUCUUGGCCAGGCUGGUCUUGAACUCCUGACCUCAUGAUCCACCCACCUCAGCCUCCCAAAGUGUUGGGAUUACAGGCGUGAGCCACCGCUCCUGGCCAAGAAGACUCUAGUUUUAAUUUACUCUAAGUUCAACAUGAGCCAGCCUGUGAGGUUACAGUGUACCACAUAUAAUGAAAUAUUAAGCUCCAUUAAUAGAGUCAUGGUUUCCAGAACAAGGAAGGCCUUAAAAAUCAUGUUUAUUCUGUACUUGAUAGUUUAUGUUGGGAGAUUUGGGUCAUAUCAGAGUGGCACAAUCAAGAUGGACACAGACAACCUGGAAAGUAACCAAGAAGGUGACUGGUUUACAAGCAGACAAGACAGUUUUUGAAAUAAUCAGGAAUGCUUUAAAGACAAGUUUGUGGAUAUUUUCUUCAAAUAAUUGAAGUCUUGUCACACAUAAGAGAGGUAGCAUUUACCUGAGUACCUCCAGAGGGUAGAUCAAUUCAAAUGUUCAAAUAAGUCAAAGUUUUUGCCUACUGUUAUUAGCUUUCUAUCAUUUAAUUGUAGAUACUUUCCUUUCUGGAGCUGCUUCAGCAGAAGCCCACUUGGCAGAAAUGUUUAAGAAUGGUUUUAUGUAUCAGGUAGAACUUUGGAUUAGAAGACCAACAACGUUCUUUGCAAAGCUAAUGUUCUCCCAGUGGACUUUACAGCUUCUUACUGAAGAUGCAAAUUCUGGGAUCAAAGUUGCUCUAGAAUGAAGUCAUGUUACAGACUUCUAUCCUGCAUUUCCUAGUUUAGUAAACACUCAUGAGUAGACCGAAUACAUUUUUUUACAUAUAAGAUCUAGGUAAAUUCAUCAUUUUAAUUUUUAAUGCUACAUAUGGUAAAAGGACCCAAAUCAUAUAAUGUUAAAAUGAAUGUCACAAAGUACUCAGAGCUUGGGAGGAGAAAAUAGGAAGGGAUGUCUGAGGUCAAAGGACUCUGGUUGAAGGGUGAAGGCUACAGGAAUACUCUGACCUCCUGUUUCUCUUGAUAAUAUUCCCCUACCCCUUGUCAUUCACAGUGGUGGUUAAAGUGGUGGGAGUAAGCUGAAACUGAGAGUGGAAUGUGAAAUGUGAUGGCAGAGGAUAUUUUUUUAAUUCCAUGUAUACUUCUUUAGUCACAGUGAUCCUUUUGGAGCAGGAAAAAAGUGUUUGUGUUUUCCCUUAUGUGACACCCAAGUGGGUAUCCUUAUAUUAAAUAAAUUACCUUAAGAUUCUGAGUCACUAUAGUUUAUAUUCUUUAUAAGUUGUACUAGAAUUCCAAAGAGCCUGGAGAAGAACAUCCUGGUGUUAGUGACAGGCUGAAACACAACACACAUCAAAUUCCUUAUUUGUGGAUAUGAAUUGAACGUCAAAUAUGUGUAGGAGACAGUGCACGUAUACGUUUCUGUGUGUUUGUAAUUUUUGCUUUGCCAGCUAAAUCAGGGUUCUCUCCACAUACUCAUAAUGAUGAACCACCUUCAUACUAUUCUACAUUAGAUAUUUGCCUUCUGCAUAGGCCUUGACGUGGUUGAACCACAAAUCAUGUGACGAGAGGCAAAAUCACAGCUCACUGCAGCCUUGAACUCCUGGGCUCAAGCUAUCCUGUGUCAGCCUCCUGAGUAGUUGGAACUACAUGCAUGUGUCAACAUGCCCAGCUAAUAUUUUUUAAAGUUUUUCUUUUAGAGAUGGGUUCUUGCUAUGUUGCUCAGGCUGGUUUUGAACUCCAGGUCUCAAGUGAUAUCUUGCCUUGGUCUCCCAAAGUUCUGGGAUUAUGAGUGUGAACCACUAUGCCCAGCCUUGUUUGGCUUAUUUUAAAAUAAACUUUUCAUCCUAAAAUGAUUCCAGAUUUAUAGAAAAAAUAUUCAGACAGUAUAGAGUUCCCACAUACCCCCACCAAAUUUUUCCCUAUUAUUCAGAUCUUUACAUUAACAUAGUAUGUUUGUUACAAUGAAUGAAGCAAUGUUGAUACCUUGUUAUUAAGUCCAUACUUUAUUCAGAUUUCCUUUUUAAUUAUCAUUAUUAUUAUUUAUAGAGACAGGGUCUCGCCCUGUGGCCCAGGCUGGAGUGCAAUGAUGCAAUCUCGUCUCACUGCAACCUCCACCUCCCAGGCUCAAGCGAUUAUCCCACCUCAGCCUCCCAAGUAGCUGGGACUAUAGAUGCAUGCCACCACAGUGGCUAAUUUUUGUAUCUUUUUGAAGAGAUGAGAUCUCGCCAUGUUGCCCAGGCUGGUCUUGAACUCCUGGACUCAAACAAUUUGUCCGCCUUGGCCUCCCAAAGUGGUGGGAUUACAGGCACUGCGCCUGGCCAGAUUUCCUUAGUUUUUACCUAAUGUCCUUUUCCUGUUCUAGCACCCCAUCCAAGAUACCACAUUGUAUUUAGUCAUCACAUCUUAGGCUCUCUUGACUGUGACAGCUUCUCAGUCAUUCUUUGUUUCUGAUUACCUUAACAAAUUUGAGGAACACCACAGAGGUGAAGUGACAUUUUUAUUACAUACGAAGCAUACAUACUAUCAGCAUGACUCAUUACUGUUGAUGUUGAUUAAACUUAAUCACCUCGUUUGAGGUAGUGUGUGUCAGUUUCAUCCACUAUGAAGUUAUUUCCUUCACCUUUCAAUACUGUACUCUUUGUAAGGAAGUUAACCGUGUGCACCCCACACUUAAUUGGAGAGUUAUGCUCCACCUUUUUGAGGAUGGAGUAUCUACAUCAUUUAUUUGGAAAUCUUCUGCAUGGGAAGUUUCUCUCUCUGCUGCCAUUUAUUUAAAAGCAUAUUUAUAUCAGUAUAAACUCAUGGAUAUUUUAUACUUCAGGUUAUAAUCCAAUACUAUUUUAUUUUGUUGCUCAAAUUGCUCCAUCUUUGGCCAUGGAGUGUUUUUCUGGCUGACUCACACGGCCUUUUGGUACACUCUCUUUUUUUUCCUGUUUUUAGCACUUCCUUACUUUCUGGCACUGCAAGUUUCUCCAGGAUUAUCUUGUAUAUUUCUUGGCCCACUUCUUCUAGGACCCCUGGUUUCAUUUAUUGGAGAAUUGCACUGGAGCCCAAAAUCUGGGUGCUAGGUGUUCUUGUUGCUAUUGGGGUGUUAUUGAUUCUAGGCCCUGUUAGCUGACUGAGCAAGGAAAUAUAUGUGCAUCAAGACCUUUGUAUAUACACAUUUCUAUAAAUGUUUCUUUUAUGUGUAAUGAUCUGGAUCUAUAUUAAGCUAAACAUGAGAUCUUUCUGAUGUCUCCAAUUCUAAUCCAUUGCCAAAGGAUCAUUAAUAAUCCAUAUGGAUCAUUCAAACUUCUUUCUCUACUUAUCUGUAACCUCUCAACUGCAACAGUGAGAAACCUGGCUUCAGUUAUCUGCCAUCCAUUUACUUAUUGUUCAGUUUCAGUACACAUGUACAGCAAUAUCAGAACUGUUAACCUGUACCUCAUGGGAAAUAACUUUGUUAAAUAAAAUCGAGAGCUUAUGUAGAGUUUCUUUUGCCUUUAGUCUUACAGACUCUACUCAUUUCUGUAGUGACUUACGUCAAGAUCUUUCUUCCCACACCCUUCAGUGAGGUUGUUUCAUAUAUUUUAUUACAGUUAAAUUGUUUUGUCACAUUGUACAUUUCAUCCCUGGGAUCCCUCAACCUCUUAAAAUUUUUAAAAAUGUGUAUAUAUUAAGAUCCACUCUUUGUACUGUAAAAUUCUAUGGUUUUUGACAAACGUGUAGUAUCCUAUAUCUACCGCUAUCAUAGAGAAUAGUUUCACUGUCCUACGUAGUCCCUGGUGGUUCAACUAUUCAACCCUCUGAACCCCUGGCAACCACUGAACUUUUUAUCAUCACUGUAGUUUUAUGUUUUUCAGGAAGUCAUAUAAUUAGAAUAAUACAGUAUGUAGCCUUUUCAGAGUGGCUUCUUUCAGUUAGCAAUUUGCAGUUAAAAUUCAUUGAAGUCCUUUUGUGGCUUAAUAUCUCAUUUCUUUUAAUGUGAAUAACAUUCCACUUCAUUGGCAUACCACAGUAUGUUUAUUUAUUCACCCAUUGAAGGACAUCUUGGUUGCAUACAGUUUUGGGGAUUAUGAGUAAAUCUGCCAUAAAUAUUCACAUGCAUGAAAACCCUUUAAUUUGGUCUGGCAUUUUUGAAAUUUAUGCUUACUUUUUAGACUUUAAAACAUGGAAUAUAUACUCAUUAUAAAAUAAAUUUUAAAUGUGAAAUAUAAUGAAAAUAAGAAAAAACACUCAUAAUUAGAAAUAACCACUAUUUUUUUUUUCCAGACGGAAGUCUCUGUUGCCCAGGCUGGAGUGCAGUGGCGCGAUCUCAGCUCACUGCAGCCUCCGCCUCCUGGGUUCAAGCGAUUCUCCUGCCUCAGAUUCUCCGAGUAGCUGACAUUAUGUUUACAAAUGGCAGAAGAGACUUUUCAGAUAAAGCUAAGGUUUCAGACCUUGAAGCAAGGAGAUUAUCCUAGAUUAUCCCCUGAGUCUCAUCUACCAUGUGAGCCCAUAAAAACAGAGAACUUGCUCAAUCUCUAAGUAGGAGAGAUAUAGUGGAAGACAUAGGAGAGAUGGCAGAAGAGAAAUUAGAGAUUCAAAGCGUGAAAGGGACUCAAUUUUUCCAGGAAAGCAUACCACAUGAAAAGCGUGAGAAGAAAUGAGAGCAGCCUGUAGCAUCUGAGAGCAAUUAAAAGCGAGGAAAUUGGGACCUCCAUCCUACAACUGCAAGGAACUGAAUUUAGCCAACAGCCAAAAUGAACUUGGAAGCAGAUUCAUCUCCAGAGCCUCUAGGAAUGGCACAGCUUUUCUGACAACACUCUGAUUUCAGCAUUCUGAGACUUUUAACGGAGGACCCCAGCUGAACCAUUCUGUACACAGGACUCUGAUUUUGUUACUCAACCAAACUUUGGUUUACUUUCCUGGCACAGUAAAAUCAAACUUCUACACUGUAUCUGUGUGUUUUCACACUGCUGAUAAAGACAUACCCGGGACUGGGAAGAAAAAGUGAUUUAAUUGGAUUUACAGUUCCAAAUGGCUGGGGAGGCCUCAGAAUUAUGGCAGGAGGUGAAAGACAUUUCUUACAUGGUGGCAGCGAGAGAAAAUGAGGAAGAAACAAAAGUGGAAACCUCUGAAAAAUCAAUCAGAUCUUGUGAGACUUAUUCACUAUCAUGAGAAAAGCACAGGAAAGACCAUCCCUCAUGGUUGAAUUACCUCCCCCCGGGUCCCUCCCACUACAAGUGAGAAUUCUGGGAGAUAAAAUUCAAGUUGAGAUUUGGGUGGAGACAGAGCUAAACCAUAUUAUUCCAAGCCUGGCUCCUCCAAAUCUCUUGUCCUCACAUUACAAAACCAAUCAUGCCUUCCCAACAGCCCCUCAAAGUGUUAACCCAUUUCAGCAUUAACCCAAAAGUCCACAGUCCACAGUUUCCUCUGAGACAAGGCAAGUCCCUUUCACCUAUGAGCCUGUAAAAUCAAAAGCAAGCUAGUUACUUCCUAGAUACAAUGGGGGUACAGGUAUUGGAAUUCCAAAUGGGAGAAAUUGGCCAAAACAAAGCGGUUACAGGGCCCAUGCAAGUCCAAAAUCCGGUGAGGCAGUCAAAUUGUAAAGCUCCAAAAUGAUCUCCUUUGACCCUAGGUCUCACAUCCAGUUCAGGCGAUGCAAGAGGUUGGUUCCCAUGGUCCUAGAAAGCUCCACCCCUGUGGCUUUUCAGGGUACAGCCUCCUUCCCAGCUGCUUUCACAGGCUGGCAUUGAGUGUCUGGCUUUUCCAGGUGCACAGUGCAAGCUGUCAGUGGAUCUACCAUUCUGGGGUCGGGAGGUUGGUGACUCUCUUCUCACAGCUCCACUAGGCAGUGCCUCAGUAUGGACUCAGUGUAGGGGCUCUGACCCCACAUUUCCCUUCUACACUGCUCUAGCAGAGGUUCUCCAAGAGGGCCCCACUCCUGCAGCAAUCUUCUGCCUAGGCAUCCAGAUGUUUUCAUACAUCUUCUGAAAUCUAGUUGGAGGUUCCCAAACCUCAAUUCUUGACUUCUGUGCACCCGCAGGCUCAAUACCACAUGAAGCUGCCAAGGCUUGGGGCUUCCACCCUCUGAAGCCACAGCCUGAGCUGUAAAAUUGGCCCCUUUCAGCCAUGGCUGGAGCAGCUGGGACACAGGACACCAAGUCCCUAGGCUUCACACAGCAAUGGAACCUUGGGCCCAGCCCACAAAACCACUUUUUCCUCCUGGGACUCUGUGCCUGUGAUGAGAGGGGCUGCCGUGAAGGUCUCUGACAUUGAAUGGAGACAUUUUCCCCAUAGUCUUGGGGAUUAACAUUAAGCUCCUUGCUACUUAUGCAAAUUUCUGUAGCCAGCUUGAAUUUCUCCCCAGAAAAUGGGUUUUUCUUUUCUAUCGCAUAGUCAGGCUGCAAAUUUUUCAAACUUUUAUGCUCCACUUCCCUUAUAAAACCGAAUGCCUUUAACAGUACCUAAGCCACCUCUUGAAUGCUUUGCUGCUUGGAAAUUUCUUCCACCAGAUGCCCUAAAUCAUUUUUCUCAAGUUGAAAGUUCCACAAAUCUCUAGAGCAGGGGCAAAAUGCUGCUAGUCUCUUUGCUAAAACAUAACAAGAGUCACCUUUACUCCAGUUCCCAACAAAUUGUUCAUCUCCAUCUGAGACCACCUCAGCCUGGACCUUAUUGUCCAUAUCACUAUCAGCAUUUUGGGCAAAGCCAUUCAACAAGUCUCUAGGAAGUUCCAGACUUUCCCACAUUUUCCUGUCUUCCUCUGAGCCCUCCAAACUGUUCCAACCUCUGCCUGUUACCCAGUUCCCAAGUCACGUCCACAUUUUCUGGUAUCUUUUCAGCAAUACCCCACUCUACUCAUACCAAUUUACUCUAUCAUCUGUUUUCACGCUGCUGAUAAAGACAUACCCAAGACUGGGAAGAAAAAGAGGUGUAAUUGGACUUAAAGUUCCACAUGGCUAAGGAGGCCUCAGAAUUAUGUUGGGAGGUGAAAGGCACUUCUUACAUGGCAGCGGCAAGAGAAAGUGAGAAAGCAGCAAAAGCAGAAACCCCUGAUAAACCCAUUAGAUCUCAUGAGACUUAUUCACUAUCAGGAAAAUAGCACCAGAAAGACUGGCCUCCAUGAUUCAAUUACAUCCCCCUGGGUCCCUCCCCCAACAUGUGAGAAUUCUGGGAAAUACAAUUCAAGUUGAGAUUUGCAUGGGGACACAGGCAAACCCUAUCAUAUGCUGAGGUUUUACAGUCAGAGAAAAGAGGGUGUUUAUUUGCAAGGCAUCAAUCAAGUAUAAUUGGGAAACUCACAUUGAGACCUGACCUCCACGAUGAUUUACAAAUUAGAGUUUUUAGGCCAGGUGCAGUGGCUCAGCCCUGUAAUCCCAGAGCUUUGGGAGGCUGAGGCGGGCAGAUCACAUCUGGUCAGGAGUUUGAGACCAGCCUGGCCAACAUGGUGAUAUCCCUUCUGUACUAAAAAUACAAAAAUUAGCCAGGCAGGGUGGCACAUGCCUGUAAUCCCAGCUAUUUGGGAGGCUGAGGUAGGAGAACUGCUUGAACCUGGGAGGCAGAGGUUGCAGUGAGCUGAGAUCAUGCCAUUGCACUCCAGCCUGGGCAACAAGACAAAACUCAUCAAAAACAAACAAACAAGAAACAGGCAAAAUUGUAAAUCAACACAUGGAGAUUAUGCAUUGUCCUGGCUGAGAAGCAUAAGAUAUCUUGAAGCAGAGGCUUACAGGUUAUAGGUGAAUUCACAGAUUCUUUGACUUGUGAUUGGUUAAGGAAGCGAAGCGUCAUCUAAAAUCUUAGGGUCAGCAGAAAGAAAUGUUAAGAUCUGGCCUGUGGGUUUGGCUGUCUCCAAGACCCUCAGGAAGAAAUUUAGAACAAAGAAUGAAGUCAGAAUUAGUUCUUUUCUGAGGUCUACCUGCCAGCAGAUGGCAUUUUUCAGUUGGCGAGAGUCUGAGUUUCUGAAAACCAACUCACGGACAUAUGUUGAGGUGUUAUUUUUAGUUUCUAUAGGAAACCAACAAUCUUGUGGCUCUAAUUUCCUUGGCUAUUGCUUUAAUCUAUUAUUACCUUUUUGCUUAUCAGGUUGUUCAUUUGGUUCUCAAGGCUAUCAGGUGUCUGGAAUUUCCCUUGAAGGAAUUCAAAAUUCUCUUUUAUUUUCAUGGUUGGGGUGCGGGCUGGCAGGCCCCUAAGAGGGGUCUCUAUUCUAUCUCAGUCCCCUCUGUCUUUUGUCAUUUCUCAAUACUGAGGAAUACAGGAAUGCAUAUCGCUUUGGUUACUUAUUGUAGAAUUUGGAAGACUGGGGACUGGGAUAUAAGAAGAGAAAGCUCCUAGCAUGGAGCUUGAAAUAUGAGUCCUGGGCAUGACAUCAUGAUGUUGAACUAUCAUUAUAUUGGUUGCUUUAGUUGCCACCUUAUUAUAACAUUUUAAUACACAUUUAGCUACAGUAUAAACUAUAAGCAAAAUCCCAAAAAUAUUAUUAACAGAAAUAGAAAUCUUAAAAUUUAAAUGGAACCACGGAAGACUCAGAAUAAGCAAAGCUAUCCAAAGCAAAAAGAACAAACUUGGAAUAAAUACAUUACCUGAUUCAGAUUAAACUACAUAGCGAUAGUAAUCAAAACAAGAUGUUACUGGCAUAAAUACAAAAACAUAGAUUAAUAAAACAAAAUUGAGAUCCCAGACAUAAAUCCACAUACCUACAUUGAACUCAUUUUUGACAAAGUACCACAAACAUACACUAAGGAAUAGACACUCUCUUCAAAAUAUGGUGAUGGGAAAACUGGAUAUCCAUACACAAAGAAAUAAAACUAAACCCCUAUCUCUUGCCAUAUACUACAGUCAAAUAAAAGCAGAUUAAAGACUUAAAUCAAGGACCUCAAGCUAUGAAACUACUACAAGUAAACAUGGGGGUAAAUCUUCAGGACAUUGGUCUCAGCAAGAACUUCUUGAGUAAUAUCUCACAAGUACAGACAAAGCCAAAAAAUGGUCAAAUGGGAUCACAUCAAGUGAAAAAGCUUCUGUAGAGCAAAGGAAACAACAAAGUGAAGAGACAACCCACAGAAUAGAAGAAAAUAUCUGCGGACUACUCCUUUAACAAAGGAUUAAUAACCAGACUAUAUAAAAAGCUCAAGCAAUUCUACAAAACAAUUAAUAAUCAGAUUUUAAAAUGAGCAAAAGAUCUAAAUAGACAUUUCUCUAAAGAAGACACACAAGUGCCAAACAGGCAUAUGAAAAGGUGCUCAACAUCAUUGAUCAUCAGAGAGAUGCAAAUCAAAACUACAAUAUGAUAUCAUCUUACCCUAUUUAAAAUGAUUUAAAUCCAAAAGACAGUCAUUAAUGCUGGUGAGCAUGGGGAGAAAAGGGAAUCCUUGUACACUUUUUUUUAAGCUAGCACAAUUAUGAAGAACAGUUUAGAGUUUCUCACAAAACUAAAUACAGAUCUACCAUAUAAUCCAGCAAUCACACUCUUGGGUACAUACCCAAUAGAAAGGAAAUCAGUAAUUGAAAAGAUGUCUGCAUGUUUUUUACAACACAAUAGCCGAAUUUUGGAAGCAACCUUAGUGUUGCUCCUAUAUUCAAUAUUUCACAGUGGCAGCCAUUGUGAUGUGGCACAGUUUGGUGUGGGCACUAAUUAAAGCCUUGUAGGAUGAGAAUCUCUGGUUGUGCUCCACUACAGAUACUGCCACACCAAACCUUCUGGGCUUCAGACUGGCUGGAGUUCUCCUUCUACCACCUCUCUAAGCAGCUCUCCCACACAACUCAAGUGUCUGUGAGGGUCAUGGGUUUUCCUGCUGCCAGGAUUCCAAAGGUUUGCGGUGAGAGUGGGUUGCUUCUUAACUGCUCAACUUACCCCUUCCCCAGAAGUCACUGGUGGCCAGAAAUGAGUCCCAGUGUGUGGUACCCCAUGCUGAAUUUCCAUCUUCCUCCAACUCAGCCAGUAUUUUUGUCUUCCCUUUGUCCACUCUCCAUGUCUUCCCUCCAAAGCUCUGCUUGGAUUGUGCCAGCCUUUCCAAUGUCCUGGUACCUCAGUGGCCUAUAUUCCUGCUUGCUGCAUAUAGUCAGCCAUUGUGCCUCCUAGCCUAAUUCUGAAGGUCUUUUUUUCUCACAACUGGAGCAAGAUAUGUAUGCCCACUUACACCACUGCUAUUGAACAUUGCACUUAAUGUUUAUCCAGAGCAAUUAGUCAAGAGAGAAAUAAUAGGCAUCCGAAUUUGAAACGAGAAAGUCAAACUAUUUCUCUUUGCAGACAGCAUAAUCUUACAUUUAGAAAAACCUAAAUACCCCACAAAAAAUAAAGAAUACUGUACCAAUAACGUUUCAGAACUGAUAAACAAAUUCAGUGAUGUUGCGGAAUAUUAAGAUAGACAAAUCAGUAGUGUUUCUAUAAAACAACGAUCUAGUUUAAAGAGAAAUCAAGAAGGAAACCUUGUUUACAAUACCUACAAAAAGAUAUAAGAAUACAUGUAAAAGUAAGAAAGUAAAAGACAUCCAUUUGGAAACUUAUAAAUCACUGAAGAAAGAAAUUGAACAGAACAUAAGCAAAUGGAUAGAAAACCCAUGCUCCUGAAUCUGCUUAAGUAUAAGAUUCAAAACUAUAGAACUAUUACAGGAAUACAUAAAGGAAUCACUCCAGACAUUGAUUUAGGCAAAGAUUUUAUGGCUGAGACCUCAAACGUGCAGGCAAUGAAAACAAAAAUAGAUGAACUGAAGUAUAUUAAACUAAAAACCUUAUGCAUAGGAAAGGACACAACCAAGUGAAGAGACAAACUUUUGAAAAGAAGAAUACGCUCAGAAACGAUUCAUUUAACAAGGGACUAAUAUACAGAAUAUUCAAGAAACUCAAAUAACUCAACAGCAAUAAUUCAAUUAAAGAGGAGUUGUAUUAGUUUGUUCUCACACUGCUAUAAAGAACUACGUGAGACUGUGUGAUUUAUGAAGAACAUAUAUUUAAUUAACACGGUUCCACAGGCUUCACAGAAAGCAUGGCUGGGAGGCCUCAGGAUGUUUCCGUUUAUAGCACUCAGGAUGUUUCCAUUUAUAGCAGAAGGGGAGAGCGGUAGAAAGCACCUUCUUCUCGUGGCAGCAGGAGAGAUAGUGAGAUGGAAAGUGCCACACACUUUUAAACUAUCAAAUCUUGUAAGAACUCACUACUCUCACAAGAAGACCAUGGGGGAAAUCCACCCCCUUUAUUCAAUCACCUCCCACCAGAUUCCUCCCCCAACAUUGAGAAUAUUUGACAUGAGAUUUGAAACCAUACAAUUCUGCUCCUGGCCCCUCCAAAACCUUAUGUUCUUCUCACAUUUCAAAAGCAGUUAUGCCUUCCCAAUAGUCCCCAAAGUCUUAACUUAUUCUGGCAUUAACUCAAAAGUCCAAGUCCAAAGUCUCAUCUGAGGCAAGGCAAGUCUUUUCUUCCUAGGAGCCUGUAAAAUCAAAGACAAGUUCGUUACUUCCAAGAUAGAGUGUGAGUACAGGCAUUGGAUAAAUAUUACCAUUUGAAAAGGGGGAAAUUGGCCAAAACAAAGGGGCUACAGGCCCCAUGGAAGUCCAGUAUCCAACAGGGCAGUUAUUAAAUCUUAAAUCUCCAAAAUAAUCUUUUACCCCAUGUCUUACAUCCAGGCCACACUGUUGCAAGGAAUGGUCUCUUGUCACCCUGGGUGGCUCCUCUGCCCCUGUGGCUGUGAGGGUACAUCUUCUGUUGCUGUUUUCAUGAGCUAGCAUUGAGAGCCUGAAGCUUUUUCAGGUGCAUGGGGCAAUCUGUCAGUGAAUCUACCAUUCUGGGGUCUGGAGGAUGGUGGCCCUCUUCUCACAGCUCCACUAAGCAGUGCCCCAGUGGGGACUCUGUGUGGGGGCUCCAACCCCACACUUCCCUUCUGUACUGCCCCAGUAGAGGUUCUCCAUGAGGGCUCCAUCCUUGCAGCAGAAUUCUGCCUGGACAUCCAGGCAUUUCCAUCAUCCUCUGAAAUCUAGGUGGAGGUUCCUGUGAUCAUUAAUAUUCAGGGUUAACAUAUUUGAAUUGAAGGAUGCAAAAUAUUGUUCCUGGGUGUGCCUGUGAGAGUGUUGCUGAGGGAGAUUAAUGUUUGAGUCAAUGGACUAGGAAAGGCAGACCCAUUCUGAAUCUGGGUUGGUACCUUCUAAUCAGCUACCAGCACAGCUAGAAUGAAGCAAGCAGAAUUUGUAAGUACUGGACUUGAUGAGUCUUCUGGCCUUAUUAUUUCUCGCUUGCUGCAUGCUAUCUGCCCUCAAACAAUGGAAUCCACGUUUUUCAGGUUUUGGACUUGGGCUUACACCAGUGGUUUGCCAGGAGCUCUUUGGCCUUCAGCCACAGACUGAAGUUUGCUGUCAGCUUCCCUACUUUUGAGGUUUUGGGACUCAACUGGCUUUCUUGCUCCUCGGCUUGCAGACAUCCUGUUGUGGGACUUCACCUUGUGAUUGUGUGAGUCAAUACUCUUUAAUAAAUUUCUUUUCCUAUAAGCAUCUAUUUUAUUAAUUCUUUUUUUCUACAGAAUCCUGAUUAAUACGGUUCCCAAACCUCAACUCUUGCCUUCUGUGCACCUGCAGGCCCAACAGCACGUGGAAGCUGCCAAAGCCUGGACUUUACACCCUCUAAGGCCAUAGCCUGAGCUGUACCUUGGCCCCUUUUAGCCACAGCUGAGGCUAGAGUGGCUGGUAAGCAGGGUACCAUGUCUCAAGGCUGCACAGAGCAGCUGAGCCCUAGUCCUGGCCAAAUAAACCAUUUUUUCUAUCCUGGGCCUCUAGGCCUGUGAUGGGAGGGGCUCACAUAAAGGUCUCUGAUGUGCCUUGGGGACAUUUUUCCCAUUGUCUUGGCUAUUAAUGUACAGCUUCUCUUUACUUCUGAAAAUUUUAUGCAUCAGGCUUGAAUUUUUUUCCAGAAAGUGAGUUUUUCUUUUCUACCACAUGACUGGGCUGCAAAGUUUUCAAACUUUGAUGGUCUGCUUUGCUAUUAUAUAUAGUAUCUAGUUUCUAAUAAUCUCUUUGUUCACACAUAUGAGUGUACACUUUCAGAAACAGCCAGGUUACAUCUUGAAUGUUUUACUGCUUACAAAUUUCUUCCACUAGAUAACUUAAAUCAUCUCUAUCAAGUCCAAAGUUCCACAGAUAUCUUCAGCAAGGGCAAAAUGCUGCCAGUCUUUUUGCUAAAGCAUAGCAAAAUUGACCUUUGCUCCAUUUCCCAAUAACUUCCUAGUCUCCAUCUGAGACCACCUCAGCCUGGACUUCAUUGUCCAUAUCACUGUCAGCAUUUCAGCAACAAUCAUUCAACAAGUCUCUAGGAAUUUCCAAAUUUUCCUACAUCUUUCUGUUUUCUUCUGAACCCUCCAAACUCUUCCAACCUCUGCCCAUUACCCAGGUCCAAAGUUGCUUCCACAUUUUCAGGUAUCUUUACAGCAAUACCCCACUCUUGGUACCAAUUUUCUGUAUUAGUUCAUUCUCAUACUGUUAUAAAGAACUACCUGUUACUGGGUAAUUUAUGGAGAAAAUAGGUUUAAUUGACUCACGGUUCCACAGGCUUAACAGGAAGAAUGGCUGGGAGGCCUCAGGACAUUUACAAUUAUGGCAGAAGCAUAAAGGGGUAGAAAGCACCUUUUUCUCAUGUAGCAGGAGACGGUAGGGGAGAAGUGCCACGAGCUUUUAAAUCAUCAGAUCUCAUGAGAACUCACUGUCACAAGAACAGCAUGGGGAAAAUCUACCCCCAUGAUUCAAUCAUCCCCCAACAGGUCCCUCCCCCAGUAUUGGGAAUUAAAAUUUAACAUGAGAUUUGGAGACAUAGAGCCAAACAAUAUCAGGAGUUAAAAAACUUGAAUAAACAUUUUUUCAACCAAGACUUACAAAUGGUCAACGAGUAUAUGAAAUGAUACUCAACAUUACUAAUUGUCAAGGAAAUGCAAACCUAUAGGAGAUAUCAUCUUAACCAAGUUAGGAUGAUUAUCAUCAAGAAAAAACGAAUUAUCAUCAAGAAAACAAACAUUGGCAAUAAUGUGGAGAAAACGACAAUCUUAUACAUUGUUUCUGGGAAUGUAAAUUAGCACAACCAUUAUGGAAAACAAUAUGAUAUUUAUUUAAAAACUAAAAAUAAAACUACCAUAUAAUCCA